UACGGAGGAUGCGAGCGUUAUCCGGAUUUAUUGGGUUUAAAGGGUGCGUAGGCGGAUUUGUAAGUCAGCGGUAAAAAUGCGGUGCUCAACGCCGUAUCGCCGUUGAAACUGCGGGUCUUGAGUGAGCGAGAAGUAUGCGGAAUGCGUGGUGUAGCGGUGAAAUGCAUAGAUAUAACUUAGAACACCGAUAGCGAAGGCAGCUUACCAGACUGAGUCUGACGCUGAUGCACGAGAGCAUGGGUAGCGAACAGG
rnacentral:rRNA from 1 species